rnacentral:rRNA from 1 species
CCUACGGGUGGCAGCAGUGGGGAAUAUUGGACAAUGGGCGAAAGCCUGAUCCAGCCAUGCCGCGUGUGUGAAGAAGGCCUUCGGGUUGUAAAGCACUUUCAGUGGGGAAGAAAGCCUUGGGGCUAAUACCCUCGAGGAAGGACAUCACCCACAGAAGAAGCACCGGCUAACUCCGUGCCAGCAGCCGCGGUAAUACGGAGGGUGCGAGCGUUAAUCGGAAUUACUGGGCGUAAAGCGCGCGUAGGCGGUCUGAUAAGCCGGUUGUGAAAGCCCCGGGCUCAACCUUGGAACGGCAUCCGGAACUGUCAGGCUAGAGUGCAGGAGAGGAAGGUAGAAUUCCCGGUGUAGCGGUGAAAUGCGUAGAGAUCGGGAGGAAUACCAGUGGCGAAGGCGGCCUUCUGGACUGACACUGACGCUGAGGUGCGAAAGCGUGGGUAGCAAACAGGAUUAGAUACCCCGGUAGUC